GAUGAACGCUGGCGGCGUGCCUAACACAUGCAAGUCGAACGGACUACAUUGAAGCCUAGCGAUAUGUAAGUUAGUGGCGGACGGGUGAGUAACGCGUGGGUAACCUGCCUUGUACUGGGGGACAACAGUUGGAAACGACUGCUAAUACCGCAUAAGCGCACAGCUUCGCAUGAAGCAGCGUGAAAAACUCCGGUGGUACAAGAUGGACCCGCGUCUGAUUAGCUAGUUGGCGAGGUAACAGCCCACCAAGGCGACGAUCAGUAGCCGGCCUGAGAGGGUGAACGGCCACAUUGGGACUGAGACACGGCCCAAACUCCUACGGGAGGCAGCAGUGGGGAAUAUUGCACAAUGGGGGAAACCCUGAUGCAGCAACGCCGCGUGAGUGAAGAAGUAUUUCGGUAUGUAAAGCUCUAUCAGCAGGAAAGAAAAUGACGGUACCUGACUAAGAAGCCCCGGCUAACUACGUGCCAGCCGCCGCAGUAA
rnacentral:rRNA from 1 species